rnacentral:lncRNA from 1 species
UUACGGCUCGCGUAGGGAAAGAGACACUCAAUGCUCGCUGUGAAAACAAUACAAAGAAAUUUUACCUGGAAGCGUUGGUGCAAAAUCUCCAAUUCUGCGGCGUCGUGGACGUGCUUAGCGAUUGUGACUCAUACUCCAAGUUCUAAGGAAGGAACAAUAAAGCAUAUGCUAAGGAGAGAUGUGCAGAACAGGCUAACGUCAAUCCCGGAACUCCCUGCCUAAAAGGAGUUUGGAUAAGUCAGUUGAAAUGCAUUUGAGUCUCAAGAAACAGAAGGCUCAGACAGUUGCCACCACUGUGAAGACUUGCCAUCUCACAUGAAAAGUAACUUGGGACAAUGACCCGCAGGAGGCGAUGGGACAGAAACCUCACCUUGUAAUAGACAUCAAACAUCAGGUCGCUGCCUGCAGCAAGAGCUUUGUCAGCUACACACAACUGUGAGCUCCAACCACCACACGGCACGGACCUGAGCCCUCUGUUCUCUGAAGCUCUGAGUCUUUGACCAUUGAUGUCUUAUUGCCCCAGACGGCUUCAUCUGCUCUCACUGUUUCAAG